rnacentral:rRNA from 1 species
UACGUAGGGUGCAAGCGUUGUCCGGAAUUAUUGGGCGUAAAGAGCGUGUAGGCGGCCCGACCAGUCCGCUGUGAAAGUCCAGGGCUCAACCCUGGAAUGCCGGUGGAUACUGUCGGGCUAGAGUCCGGAAGGGGCGAGUGGAAUUCCUGGUGUAGCGGUGAAAUGCGCAGAUAUCAGGAGGAAGACCAGUGGCGAAGGCGGGUCUCUGGACAGUUCCUGACACUGAGGCACGAAGGCCAGGGGAGCAAACGGG